GUACAAAUGGCUUUUCCUGUCUAUAGUUGGCAUUUUUCAUAUGAGAAUAGCUAAUCUACAUGCAAAGUUAAGGUUACUUGCAAAUUAGUUUUUUCCUGUACGGGACAGUUUUAAAAGUUGGGCUAGUAUAGCUUCUAAAACAGUCACUGCUACUCCAGAGUAAGGAUGACUUCCCUCUGUUCAGCUGAAACCUUAUCCCCAGGGACAUGAGCAAAACCGGGAAAAAAGCCCUACUCCAGCUGGAAUAGCAGUGAUUGUAUCAUUUGUAUUCUGGUCUUAAUUUAUAAUUUAGCUUACAUUGAAAAAAUCAUUGCGUUCCAAUACAGAUUAUGUCCUGGCGCCCUGAUUUGACAGAUGGAUCAGUAUGGGAGCAGUGAUGCAAAACUUAAGGAUGUUUUAUUUUGAGGGAUAAUGCAUAUGUUUUGAAAACACUCUAGAAACAUUUAAUCACUUGCUGUGUGUUGAAAUAUUUGGAAAAUAUUUGGAAUAUUUGAAUGAUCAUAUGAGACUGUUUAUUCCCUUUCUUUUUAGAGGAUAUGCUACACAGCAUUUGUAGAUGCCCUUGAGCUAAGAGCGUCCGACAGAUUUCGAUUAAAGGCCACUAGUCCUAAAGGAGUUUGUGCUCAUAGACCAGUUAUCUCUGUGUCCACUGUUACUUGUAAGACCUGGGAAGGUAGACGUUUCUGAUA
rnacentral:lncRNA from 1 species